CAUCACUACGCUAGAUGCAUAUCAAUAAGCGGAGGAAAAGAAACUAACAAGGAUUCCCCUAGUAACGGCGAGUGAAGCGGGAAGAGCUCAAAUUUGAAAUCUUAAAGGUUUUCCCUUGACGAAUUGUAGUUUAAAGAAGUGCUUUCUGUUGGAGUUUCGGUAAAAGUUCUUUGGAAUAGGACAUCAUAGAGGGUGAGAAUCCCGUAUUUGACCAUUACUUUCCAGCUGUGUGAUACACUUUCAAAGAGUCGGAUUGUUUGGGAAUGCAGUCCAAAAUGGGUGGUAAAUUUCAUCUACAGCUAAAUAUUGGCGAGAGACCGAUAGCGAACAAGUACCGUGAGGGAAAGAUGAAAAGAACUUUGAAAAGAGAGUUAAACAGUACGUGAAAUUGUCAAAAGGGAAGCGUUUGACACCAGUGUUGUUUAGUUGAAGAUCAAUUCAAUAAUUGAUGGAUUUUGAGUAGUAUUGACUUCAUCAGCUUGCUUUCUUUCAUUUGAUGCACUUUUCAGUUAACAAGUCAACAUCAAUUUCUUUUGUUGUAAAAGGGUCAUUGGAAGGUGGCUUUCUCUUCGGAGAAAGUGUUUAUAGCCUUUGAUCUCUGCAACCGGAGAGACUGAGGUCUGCAGCGUAGACUCUUCGGGGUUAAAUACAUUUGUGCUAAGCUAUAGCUUUUUAUAGACAACUUGUUGACUAUAUUUAGUCUUGUGGCUUACUCGCUUAUGCUAUUUUACCUACGCUUAGGAUGUUGACGAGACUGUCGAUCUC
rnacentral:rRNA from 1 species